AAUUCAUUCCUAUGUUCCUAUCUCACUAUUAGUAUUUCAUUUCUCCGUCUUUGAGAAUCUACGUUGAAGUCUAUUUUCAUGGAUAGAUUACAAAAGCACAUCUACAUCCAUGAAUCCCCGCUCCUUCCUCAAAUCAAGACUCAACAAGCCCCAAGUAAUCAACCUCCCUUGCCAGUUUCCAGCCAUGGGUUCCCCAUAUUGGCCAUUGCUGUACUAGGCAUCAUGGCUUCUAUUUUCUUACUAAUCAGCUACUAUAUCUUUGCCACCAAAUGCUGCUUCAGCUGGCAACAACUUGACCCCCUGAGACGCUUUUCUUUCCGGCGAGCACCCCGGAAUGAAGGCUUCUUGAUGGCCUACUCUCCUUCAUUACCGACUCGAGGCCUCGAUGAAAUGCUUAUCCGCGAACUCCCCACUUUCCAGUAUUACAGGACCGAAGGAGAUGAAAGCAGCAGCCUAAACAAGUGUGUGGUCUGUUUGAACGAGUUUCAAGACCAAGAUAUGCUGAGACUUCUUCCUAAAUGUAGCCAUGCCUUCCACCUAGAUUGCAUUGAUAUAUGGCUUCAGAGCAACGCCAACUGCCCUCUUUGCAGAACAAGCAUUUCUGGGACCACCAGAGAUCCAUUUGAUAUGAUCAUUGCACCAAAUUCUUCACCCCAAGAGCCUCAGCCUUUGAUGAGAAGAAUGGUUGGAAGCAGUGAAGACUUUGUUGUGAUCCAAGUGAGCGGAGAAGAAGGGACUCGCAGCUUGUUGCAGGGGCACCAAGAGAGAAGUGAAUCCUGCAGACAAUUGGUGCAAUCUAGGAGUCAGUCCCUAAGAAAGUCUGAGCAGAAGUUGACAAAGUUGAAACCAGGGAAGGUUCAUCAUGCUUCCAUAAUGGGAGACGAAUGCAUUGAUGUUAGAGAGAAAGAUCAUCAAUUCUCCAUCCAGCCUAUUAGGAGAUCAUUCUCCAUGGAUUCUGCCGUGGACCGUCACGUUUAUUUGUCAGUUCAAGAGAUCGUAACGCAAAGUAGACACCCCGGUGAGGUUAGAAACAGUGAAGAAUCAAGUAGCAGAAGCCAAAGAUCAAUCUUCUCAUUCGGACACGGAAGAGGAUCUAAAAGAGCAGUUCUUCCAAUAGAUCAGUUAUAACACGCAUCCAUUGCAUUAAAGAUUUCGAUUUCUCGUAAAACAAAAACAUCUUACUGUUGUUGAUUAGUUCGACCCUUAUUCAUUGCUUAUUUCUUGCAGAUUGAAAUAUUAGAACUUUUAGCAGGUUAAGGUAUAUUAAUCGCGCAACACAAUAAUUAGGUAUGAUGUUGCACGACGUGAAAAGAGCCGGUCACUGGUGGUUCGUGCUGAAAUGUAGGCAACUAGGGCUGGUAGAAUCAUUGUUAAACCACUAUGGCUAGAUAAGAUUUUAUGCUGAUGCGACAUUCUUCUUCAUGAAUGGAAAUGAUUGCGUUCGAACUUUCUUUUUUCUGCUUCUCUCAAGAAUGCCCCGCAUAAUACAUUGAGAGAAUUAUAAGGGGUCGACAGCUCAGUUCACGAAAGAGGCCAGAGGACCCAACUUUUUCCCCAGAGAAUGAAUGAAAAGCACCAAACACGGCAACACCAAUUGAUUCCAGAGGAUCGACACAAGCAGCUGGUGCCCGGUGGCAGCAGAGUUUGAAGAGUUGCUCGAUCCCGGGGAGGAGGGCAAGAAGACUGACGAAGAAAAAUUGGG